UACGGAGGGCGCUAGCGUUGUUCGGAAUUACUGGGCGUAAAGCGCGCGUAGGCGGCUUUGUAAGUUAGAGGUGAAAGCCCGGGGCUCAACCCCGGAACUGCCUUUAAAACUGCAUCGCUUGAAUCCGGGAGAGGUGAGUGGAAUUCCGAGUGUAGAGGUGAAAUUCGUAGAUAUUCGGAAGAACACCAGUGGCGAAGGCGGCUCACUGGACCGGCAUUGACGCUGAUGUGCGAAAGCGUGGGGAGCAAACAGG
rnacentral:rRNA from 1 species